rnacentral:siRNA from 1 species
GGGGGCCGGCGAUGCGUCCUG